rnacentral:rRNA from 1 species
AUGACGCGGUUCAACGUGCAAACCAAUGUGGAAAGAAAACAAAAAGAAAGGAGAAGAUCAAUUUCUAAAGAUGACGCGUCCAAGAAGGAUUUGCCAGUGCUGUCGGCUGGCGUCAAGUUCGAUCCCACGGAUCAGGAGCUAAUCGAGCACUUUGAGGCCAAAGUGACUGCUGACUGCGCGAGAUCUCACCCUCUCAUCGAUUUGUUCAUACCAACUAUCGACAGCAAGCACGGCAUAUGCUGCACCCAUCCUGAGAAACUUCCAGGUAUCACACUGAGUGGCCUAAGCAAGCAUUUCUUCCAGCGCAAUUCCAGGGCGUUCGAAAGGGGCACGUGGAUGCGUCGCAAGAUACACUCGGAGUGCGGCAUGCACACGAUGUGGCACAAGACCAACAAUACCUUGUCGAUGGUGGUCAAUGGCCGGCAGACAGGUAGCAAAAAGGUUCUGGUGCUGCACACUAACAAAAACUUCGACCAGCACAGGACCAACUGGGUGAUGCACUAG